rnacentral:rRNA from 1 species
GAUGAACGCUGGCGGCGUGCCUAAUACAUGCAAGUCGAGCGAACAGACGAGGAGCUUGCUCCUCUGACGUUAGCGGCGGACGGGUGAGUAACACGUGGAUAACCUACCUAUAAGACUGGGAUAACUUCGGGAAACCGGAGCUAAUACCGGAUAAUAUAUUGAACCGCAUGGUUCAAUAGUGAAAGACGGUUUUGCUGUCACUUAUAGAUGGAUCCGCGCCGCAUUAGCUAGUUGGUAAGGUAACGGCUUACCAAGGCAACGAUGCGUAGCCGACCUGAGAGGGUGAUCGGCCACACUGGAACGGAGACACGGUCCAGACUCCUACGGGAGGCAGCAGUAGGGAAUCUGCCGCAAUGGGCGAAAGCCUGACGGAGCAACGCCGCGUGAGUGAUGAAGGCCUUCGGAUCGUAAAACUCUGUUAUUAGGGAAGAACAAAUGUGUAAGUAACUAUGCACGUCUUGACGGUACCUAAUCAGAAAGCCACGGCUAACUACGUG